UGAGGAAUAUUGGUCAAUGGGCGGGAGCCUGAACCAGCCAAGUCGCGUGAGGGAAGACGGUCCUACGGAUUGUAAACCUCUUUUGUCGGGGAGUAAUAGGCGGGACGUGUCCUGCUGUGAGAGUACCCGAAGAAAAAGCAUCGGCUAACUCCGUGCCAGCAGCCGCGGUAAUACGGAGGAUGCGAGCGUUAUCCGGAUUUAUUGGGUUUAAAGGGAGCGUAGGCCGGAGGGUAAGCGUGUUGUGAAAUGCAGUUACUCAACAUCUGCACUGCAGCGCGAACUGUUCUCCUUGAGUGCGCAGGAAGUAGGCGGAAUUCGUCGUGUAGCGGUGAAAUGCUUAGAUAUGACGAAGAACUCCGAUUGGGAAGCCAGCUUACUGUAGCGCCACUGACGCUGAUGCUCGAAAGUGCGGGUAUCGAACAGGAUUAGAUACCCUGGUAGU
rnacentral:rRNA from 1 species